AUGCAGGAGUGUUAAACAAAGGGGUGACAUUUAGUCUUCGGAUUAGAGAUUUUUUUUUAAUAAGAAUGAGGGUUCCUUUUUUCCUCUGCAUACCUCUGGCAUGGGGAGAGUGGUGGUUAAGCACAGGGUGGCUGUGACCCAGCUGCUUUGUGGAUUUUGACUCUGGACCAGAUCACGGUGCUCUGUGCUUCUGCUGCUCUCUGUGGGGCUGGCUGGGCAGUGGAGCUGGGAGGAUUCAGGGCCAUGCAAGAAAGAGGCGCAUGGAGAGGGGAGCUGGAGCUGGAGGGGCCUCCCAGCCCUGCAGGGCCUGGACUGCUUAUCUCAGCGGCAGCAGCCCCGCAUCUCUGAGGCAGCAAAGCUAGAAGCUGUCAUUUCAAGUGCAGGACUGUGAAGGAGCCAGCAAUCUUACACCUAUGACUCAGGAGAGGAAACUGAGGCUCAGUAAGGUCAGGGGUCUUGCUUACGGAAACAGAACAAGCCAGAGACCAAGCCCAGGCCAACGGCUCUCCCACAGAGCAGGUGGUGGCAGCUCCACGGUUUUCAUUCCCCGCACCCUGGUUCUCAGGGAGAUGGGCCUUCUGCACCUCAUGGGCACUCCCGAUCCUCAAGUUCUCAGGUACUGCGCUGAACCCUGAGCCAGAGUGUUGGUUAUGAGACUUUCACAGGCACACUGCAAACACACCAUGGCACCACUGCCUCUGGGAGUCCGUGGUGCCUGCACAAAGGUGGGUAUUUUCCAGAGUGACUGCUAAGUGAAGAGAAACCAGCAUCCAAACUCUCGAUUCCCGGAUGUAACAGUGGCCCAGGACCCAGGAAAGGGAGGGAGGGCAGGAUUCCUAUGGAGAUGGCAUUCUGGCUCACAGCAGCAGACUGGCGGCAAGCUGUCCUCGCACUCCUGAGAAGAGAGAUGAGCAGCCCUGGAGCAGUGUGUGGCCAUGGAUGUGUUACCUGACCUACUCGGCCCGUAAGUGUUCUUAGACUUCAUCAUCAGCAUUUAAAGUCAGAUGACUUCAUGGGGAACUCGACUUCCAGCUUCCUUUGGAAGAUGAGACCCCGGCUGCUUGGGUCUGCCUCGCACCGUCUGCUGCCACCUCACAUCCAGGCUGCUUGUCUAGCAGGUCACCUGAGUGGCCUCCACAGGCAUGGGAAUCUCCAGCCUCAUUCUAGAGUCUAGGGAGCCCUCACAACAGCUGUUAUUUGUAAGGAAAAUUUCCAAACAUGCAUUACAACUGUUUUCUUUGAAGAGCUGGAGAUAGGUGAGCAAUGGCUGAGGUUAGGGACCUGGCAGUGGGAGAGGGGCACCUGGUCCACUGAGGACAUUCUGCUAGCCCAGAGCUGGUGAGAAGUCCCUCAGGCAAGGCCACCCUUCUGAGGAUGGUGCCUGUUCUUCCACCCUUUCUGGAAGCUCUAACAAAAUGCAGAGGGUAUUGAAGCACAUGAGGGGACCCCUGGGGCUCUGUGAACCUGGAGCUGGACCAGGAGUCUGUCAGGAAGGCUGGGAGAGGCAGGAAUCUCCAGCACACUCAGGAGGUCACCGGGUCUGGCUUUGGGCAUUAGAGCCAAGCCUUCCCAGGAGGCCUCCAGCUAACACUGGCAUUUCUGACUAUUCACAUGGACACCUGAUCUGUGUCAAAGCAGCAUCAUUGAGUGGAGAAGUCUGCUUGCUGACCUUGGGAAAGCAAAUCUCUUCUCCACGAUGGCCCUGAUGAUUUCAAGGUGGUAGCAUCGGGUGGGAAGCAGACAACCCAGACUUGCACCCAUCCUCCCCUGUGCUCCAGGCUGGCUAGGCAGCCACCAGCAGGAUCAUGUUUUGAGGGGUCACAUGGUGUGACUGUCUUGAGAGCAGAGCCAUACUGUCCUCCAGCAGUGCAAGGCCGCUGGGUGUUUGGGGGCAGGUGGGGCUGGCGGGGCGAAGGGAGCACUACAGUCAGAUAGAAGCAGGAUGGCAAAAAUAGACAAAGACAAAAGAGACCGGGGAGAAGUGUGGGCCCCUCAGACACCGACACGGUACAGUGCAAGUCUGAGAUGAUGUAAAUUAAACCCUGAGAAUAAAUAAAAUCAGAAGUAUGGCAAGGGAGCUGUCAUUUGGCUUGUACCUAGCACUGGCUGGAAAAUAAUGAGGGGAAGAAAAAGCCACCAGCACAUGUCUGCUCCAUCGGUCACCUUCUCCUUCUGCUCUCCCCCACCCUGGGGCUCCCCAGCGCCGCAGCCAGGGUUGGUCGCUGCCUCGUCUGCUGCUCUUUGCUUCUCAGGCUCCUUGCCCCUCUCUCUUCCCUUCCUCGGCCUGCUUCUAUUCUUCACCCCCUGCCAUUCUCCAGCCUGCUCUGCUGGCCCAUGUCCUGAACUGCUCCCCAUGGCCUCCUCCGGGGACCUCUGAGGGCCAUGGCGCCCUCUCUGGCCUCCGUGUUCCACGCCUCUCUUUCCAGCCCAGCCACUCCUCUCGGAGCCCAUCUAGCAUUCUCUGCUCCCUCUCUCCCCACUGCCUCUUGCUCAUGGGCAUCCCUUUGCUGGGUACCUCUUUCCCCAGCUUAGCACAGGGAAGGUGAAGGACAGAGCUGGGCUUGAUCCCAGUUGGCCCACAUCCUCAAACCUUCGCUCUCACACAAGCCUAGAUUUUCCCAACAGCAUCCUGUUCCAGAAUCAAGUUCCAAGUAUCUUGAAAUGGUGUUCUCCUCUAUGUGGGUGUAGUGGGGCCACUGGUCUUGUGCUAAUAACUGGUUUCUGUGUGCAUGCUGUGAGAUGAGAAAGGCCGGGAGGUCUUGCCUGAGCUGGCCAAGGGCCUUCUGCUCCCUAGGCGCGCCCACUGAGGUGCCUAACACCCAAGCUCCUGCCUGUGCACAAAGCCCCAGGUCAAGGGUCUGCAUGUGGGGAUAACUGUUCCCAGGCCUUAGAAACAUCAGGGGCCUAGAAGUGAGUGAAGCUGCCAGGAGGCCUUGUCUGAGCAGCCCAGCCUCCAUCCCAGCCAGGCUGGCACCUCUCCUAGCCAGCUGUGGACCUCGAGGCAGUAGGGCUGCUCCUGUUCAGCCGUGGCCUGUUUCCGCAGAUGCUGGCCCUUAUCACCUUCUCCCAGGGGCUGCUUACUACUCAGUGCACGGCCUGGCUGGUUGUUCAUGGAGACUCCCUGCUGUCACGUCCGAAUCCAGGUUGGCGUGAACAGGGAGGUGACAGAACUAGGGUGCAAAGAGGCUUUCCAUCAGUGCGCUGCGCCUUGGGAAUCCUGCCAGAGCUCUUCCGCUCCACUGCUGCUCUGCAUGUGCACUCAGUUUCAUGGAUCUCAGUUUCACUAGCUCUGCUUGCCAACACUAGAUUUUUAGUAGGGCCAUCAGCAUCAGUCCCACCAUGCACAGAACUGAGAGCUCAGGAACGGGCUGGAACUUACUCAAGAUUGCACAGCACAAAGACUGAGCAGCUGGCACUUGAGCUCUGAUGUCCGACUCUGAGCACAGGGUCCUUUCCGUUGUUUGUGGUCCUCCCUGGAACUCUGGCUAGCUUUCAAAGUAUUGCUCACCAAGGAACAAGAAAGCCUGGGUGAACCUCAAGUGUUUCCUCUGCAGUCUCUGUUCUCCCAGUUUAUACUUUGCUUUUCCUUAGUGCAGACAGCCUGGGAGCACUGCAGGCAUUGGUAAAAUGGGCAGCCCCUGGCCUUGAAGUUGGAUCAGGGUUCAGGCCCAGGACUGUUACGUGCUUUCUGUGCGUCCCAGGGUCUGUGAUCCAUGCUGGAGUCCCCUGUGCAGAGGGGCGUUCUGAGUAUUCAAGCAAUAACCUAGGAAGACAAAAGACUACAGAGCCAGGACACACAUGCAUUCCACAGACACAUGGCAAAGAACAAUACAGCCAUUUCAUCUUCUUGUUGUCAUUCAGAGAAGCAAGCGUAUUGGGAGCCACAAAAGUGCAAUGUUGCAGAGACUCUUCCAAAAUAGGAUGUUGUAAUUGCUGCCACCACCACUGUGGGUGGUGUGUGGGAAUCCCUGGGUGGCAGCAGGCCACAGGAGAAUGUCACAGCUCUCCCCUGCAGCGGGGCUCAUCUUUCUUGGCCCGUUCUUUCCCUCCCUGCCAGUGCUUCUCCUCCACGCAGUUACGGUGGUGAUAUACUGCUUCUCAGUGCACCCCACACACAUCCAUGGGCAGCACAUUUAAAGGGGUAAACAUCCAAAAAUUCAAUAUGCAUGCGUUUUUAUGAGGUAACAUUAUUCUACUUUGUAGAAUCUGCCACAGGCUCCUACAACUUUUCUUUGGAAAGUGUUUGCUCAGGAUGAGGGAACCAGACGGAGAGUAAUUCAGUCUGUAGGACAAGUUGACUGAGACUGGACAGUGGUCCAAAUCUUGCACAAGAAGAAAUGUCUUUUGGAACUGUGCCCUUGGCCAGCGGAAAAUUACUAGACUUCAGCCCACCGAAGCAAAUCAAAGCCUACGGUUCCUCUUCCUUAAGGAGCAGCCUGAUGCCCUGUUUUCCUGGUCAGUGCGGUCCCCCUUCAGCUGAAACCCCAAGUAAAGCUUUGUUUGCCUGUGUAUGUGCUUGCACUAUUUUGCUUGUUCCUGUUUCUAUCAAUCUACGAAAAAAGAUCUCAGUAACAAUUCCAGCAGCCUCAAGGGUAGUCAGAUUGGCGAUGCUCAAGUGCGUUGUGUGACGUGGCACAGUAUUUACACGUCACUAACACAUAUCAUCCCUUACACAUGAAACCAUCUCUGUAUAAAUGGUAGGAGGAUAAUUGUUAUAGUGUAUUAUUUGGGAAUAAUGAAAAGAAAGAAGUCUGUAAUAUGUAAAUACUAUAAGAAUAAUUGUUAUAGUGUAUUAUUUAGGGAAUAAUAAUAAAAAAGUCUAUAUAUGUCCAAUACA